rnacentral:rRNA from 1 species
UGGGGAAUAUUGGUCAAUGGGCGAAAGCCUGAACCAGCAAUGCCGCGUGAGUGAUGAAGGCCUUCGGGUUGUAAAGCUCUGUCAAGGGGAAAGAAUAAGCUAGUAAUAGUGAUGACGGUACCCCUUAAGAAAGCACCGGCUAACUCUGUGCCAGCAGCCGCGGUAAUACAGAGGGUGCAAGCGUUGUUCGGAAUUACUGGGCGUAAAGCGCGUGUAGGCGGUCUGGUAUGUCGGUUGUGAAAUCCCUCGGCUUAACCGAGGAACUGCAUCCGAAACUGCCAGACUUGAGUGUCGGAGGGGAUGGCGGAAUUCCCGGUGUAGAGGUAAAAUUCGUAGAUAUCGGGAGGAACACCUGUGGCGAAGGCGGCCAUCUGGAAGACAACUGACGCUGAGACGCGAAAGCGUGGGGAGCAAACAGGAUUAGAUACCCCCGUAGUCC